GCUGAGCAAGGUGACAUAGGCCUGUAGUCUCAGCUACUUGAGGGGCUAGGGUGCAAGGAUCACUUAAGUCCAGAAGUUCUGAGCUACAGUGUACUAUGCUGAUCAGGUGUCCACACUAAGUUUGACCUCCUGUGAGCAGGGGACCACUAGGUUGCCUAAGAAGGGGUGAACUGGCCCAGGUCAAAAAUGGAACAGGUCAAAACUCCAGUGCUGUUUGGUAGUGCGAUUGCACCUCUAAAUAGCACUACACUCCAAUCUGUAAAAUCUAGUGUGAGGU
ensembl:misc_RNA Metazoa_SRP Metazoan signal recognition particle RNA